rnacentral:rRNA from 1 species
AUUGAACGCUGGCGGCAGGCCUAACACAUGCAAGUCGAACGAGUGCCGGACGGGUGUGUAUUGUCUGGGAGACUGCGCGAUGUCGGGGGGUAACUACUGGAAACGGUAGCUAUUACCGCAUACCAUCGGAUGUGCCCAGAUGGGGUUAGCUAGUAGGUGGGGUAACGGCUCACCUAGGCGACGAUCCCUAGAUGGUCUGAGAGGAUGACCAGCCACACUGGAACUGAGACACGGUCCAGACUCCUACGGGAGGCAGCAGUGGGGAAUAUUGCACAAUGGGCGCAAGCCUGAUGCAGCCAUGCCGCGUGUGUGAAGAAGGCCUUCGGGUUGUAAAGUACUUUCAGCGAGGAGGCGUUACUCGCAGAAGAAGCACCGGCUAACUCCGUGCCAGCAGCCGCGGUAAUUC